UGACCUCAAAUCAGGUAGGACUACCCGCUGAACUUAAGCAUAUCAAUAAGCGGAGGAAAAGAAACUAACAAGGAUUCCCCUAGUAACUGCGAGUGAAGCGGGAAAAGCUCAAAUUUAAAAUCUGGCAGUCUUUGGCUGUCCGAGUUGUAAUCUAGAGAAGUAUUAUCCGCGCUGGACCGUGUACAAGUCUCCUGGAAUGGAGCGUCAUAGAGGGUGAGAAUCCCGUCUUUGACACGGACUGCCAGGGCUUUGUGAUAUGCUCUCGAAGAGUCGAGUUGUUUGGGAAUGCAGCUCAAAAUGGGUGGUAAAUUCCAUCUAAAGCUAAAUAUUGGCGAGAGACCGAUAGCGAACAAGUACCGUGAGGGAAAGAUGAAAAGAACUUUGGAAAGAGAGUUAAACAGUACGUGAAAUUGCUGAAAGGGAAACGCUUGAAGUCAGUCGCGUUGGCCAGGGAUCAACCUUGCUUUUUUGCUUGGCUUACUUUCUGGUUGAUGGGUCAGCAUCAAUUUUGACUGGUGGAAAAAGUUCAAAGGAAUGUGGCAUCUUCGGAUGUGUUAUAGCCUUUGUUCACAUACAUUGGUUGGGAUUGAGGAACUCAGCACGCCGCAAGGCCGGGUUUUUAACCACGUACGUGCUUAGGAUGCUGGCAUAAUGGCUUUAAUCGACCCGUCUUGAAACACGGACCAAGGAGUCUAACAUGCCUGCGAGUAUUUGGGUGAAAAACCCGAGNUGCGUAAUGAAAGUGAAAGUUGAGAUCCCUGUCGUGGGGAGCAUUGACGCCCGGAUCUGACCUUUUGUGACGAUUCUGCGGUAGAGCAUGUAUGUGGACCCGAAAGAUGGUGAACU
rnacentral:ncRNA from 1 species